UCUGAAAGUGAGAAAGAAUGUGAUAUUAAUUGAGCAUCUUCUGAGCAAGCUAUAUGCUGUACAUAUGCUUUUCUUCAAAACAUCCCUUCAAGAAAAUGAUACAUCUAUUUCAGAAUGUGACAGAAAAACACCAAUAGGCAGGAAAGAGGGGGCGGAAGGAAUUCACCGUACUCUCCAGUACCCCAGUUGCUGGCUGGUUAAUGAAGCAUUCUUCUCAUCAAGCUGC